rnacentral:rRNA from 1 species
AGAGUUUGAUCAUGGCUCAGAAUGAACGUUGGCGGCGUGGAUUAGGCAUGCAAGUCGUACGGGGCCGCAAGGCACCCGUGGCGCAAGGGUGAGUAAGGCGACGGCAACCAACCCCGAGGACGGCCAUAGCCGCGGGAAACCGCGGGUAAUAGCCGGCGGGGCGGAGGGUCGAGAUCGACUCUCCGUGAAAGGUGAGAAACCGCCCCGGGACGGGCCGUCGUGGUACCAGGUCGUUGGUGGGGUGAUGGCCCACCAAGCCGACGACACCUACCGGGCGUGCGAGCGUGGUCCGGCACACUGGGACUGAGACACUGCCCAGACUCCUACGGGAGGCUGCAGUCGAGAAUCUUCGGCAAUGGGCGCAAGCCCGACCGAGCGACGCCGCGUGGGGGAUGAAGGCCUUCGGGUUGUAAACCCCUGUCGGGGGCGAGCAAGGGGGCGUGAGGAACGCCCCUUGAGCGACCCCCGGAGGAAGCACGGGCUAAGUUCGUGCCAGCAGCCGCGGUAAGACGAACCGUGCGAACGUUAUUCGGAAUCACUGGGCUUAAAGGGCGCGUAGACGGGCGAUUGCGUCGAGUGCUGAAAGCCCCCGGCUCAACCGGGGAACGGGCCUCGAAACGGAUCGUCUCGAGUGGAGGAGGGGGACCUGGAACGUCCGGUGGAGCGGUGAAAUGCGUUGAGAUCGGACGGAACGCCGACGGCGAAAGCAGGGUCCUGGACUCCGACUGACGCUGAGGCGCGAAAGCCAGGGGAGCGAACGGGAUUAGAUACCCCGGUAGUCCUGGCUGUAAACGAUGGGCACUGGACGGUGGGCUCGCCGAUGGGCACGCCGUCGCAGCGCAAGCGUGAAGUGCCCCGCCUGGGGAGUAUGGUCGCAAGGCUGAAACUCAAAGGAAUUGACGG